GUAUACUUAUUUUUACGAAACACGAAAGAAAAGCACAAAAGGCAAGAAAGUUUCUUCUUUUCAUCUUCGAUUUCCAAUCUUUUUCUUUCGAAUUAUUUAUAUAAACAGAUUUGACAAACGUGUUUCUUGAUUACUGCGAUUGUAUUCUCUGUUAGCCAAUUUCUUAAUUGUUCAAGAAUGAACAUUAAUAUUUAUUUGGCUUUGCAAUUUCAAAUCCUAGAUGGAAAAUUUUGAUUUGUUUAUUUGAAGUUUCUUGAAAUGGUUUCUUUGAGCAUCGAUGAUCCUGACCCUAAGAUUUUGACUGAAUCAUGGAUUCUUUAUUCGAUUAUUGUGAAUGGUGACCCUAACCCUAACAAUUAAUCAGAGUUGAGAUUCCUAAAUGCAUUUGCAUUGUGGCGAUUAAAUUGAAAUCAUGAAUUCUAUAUUCAUAAUGCAAUACUAUGAAUUUACAUACGCACUCCUUGAGGCUUUAAUUGUGGCGAUGAAAUUAUGAAUUUUAUAUUCAUGGUGAAAAUUUUGGAUAUUGGUGACCCUAAUUAGAUUUUCAUAAUAUGAAUUUGGGAUGGUAUUUCCUCAGUCUUGGUGUCCCUAAUUAGAUCUUUUGAUCUUCAAUACUAUGAGUUUUGUAUGGAUGAUGUGAAAUUUGGAUAGUAUGUAUCGAUUAUUGAUGGUGACCCUGAAUACAAAUGUUGAAUUGAGAGGAUUUGUUUGAUCCUAAAUUAACCCAAUGCAACUGGAUUGGGGAUAAUUGGAUUCUUGAUGACCCUAAAUACAGGUUGGAACUUGAGUUGUGAUGGUACCUAAAUUUGUGGCUUCUAUGGUGUGGCAUCAUUGUACUUGGUUGCAGAAAAUAUUAAAAUUGUCCCUUAAUCGACUUUUUCGGCACAAAUGUUUUUAGUUUAUAAAAAAUAGUAAUGUUUUAGAAAUUGCAAUUUUAGAAUAGUGGUUUUUCUCGAAAUCUUAUUUUUGGAUCUUUUAUUUAGAUGGUCUGCCCUGUUGUCAAUCUCUUGAAAGAAAAUUCAGGUGUUGGUGUCUUUUUCUUGCCAAGAAGGAUUUGUUGAACAAGCAUAAUGUAUGUUCCCCAUUGAAUGAAAUUUUUCUAUAUCAGUUUCUUUCUUGUACUAUUUGAUUGGCACUAUUACUCUGCCCAGUUGCUACCUUUGAAUUAUUAUUAUUCACAAGAUUCUCAAAUAGAUAAACAAAGUAAUGUUGAUGACCCUAAAUACAAUUGAUGAAUGAGGUAUUUUCAUAUUGUGAAAUUUGGACAGUUUGUUUUGACCCUUAUUAACCCAAAUGUAACUGCAAUGGGGAUAAUUGGAACCAUGAUGAUCCUAAAUAUGAUUGAAAUAUUAAAUUUAUUUAUUCAUAAGGCAAAGUUAUGAUGGCUGCUUCUAGGAUGAAGGACUAACAAAGUUCCUCACCUGUGUACUGGCCAAAUUGAUCAUACGUAUUGUAAUAUAAAAUAUUAUGAAUGGUUGAGAUUUCAUAGUUACCUAGUAUUUUCAGUUGCAUAAAAUCUUGCUUAUGUUCCUUAAUCUUCUCUUUUGGGGCCAUUUUUAUUUGGUUCAUUUGUGAUGUCUUACAAAUUGAAAUUCAGGUCGUUUAUCUCAUUCAUCUCCUUUGUUUUUGGAGAAUAAUGUGCAGCCUUAAAGUUAUAGAUAUGUAAUUUGAUUAAUUGUCUUUGUUGUGGCAACAAUGAGAUAAGGUAGAUCACACGAGUUCGUGUGGAAGCCGCCCAACUUUGUAUUGUUUGCUAAGGGUACAUAACUCAUUGUAUGUCCUAACCUUAGUUUGUGGAUCUUUGAUUUGGGUUGGCUUGCUUGGUUGCAAGUCUACUGAGUGAAAAAUAGGUGCUCAUGUCACUUUCUUUGCAAUGGAUUAGAAGAACAAGGAGUGAUUGAGAAGUUUUUGGAAUGAUUACUCUAUAUCUGUUUUAGAAGUUUCUUUAUGGAGAAAGGAAUGAUGCUUUUUUUGCUAUAUGCCUUAUCCUGACGUUUUUGGGUGUUGACAGUUGGAGAGAAAUGAUAAAUAUUGUGAGAAUUUCUUCAUUUCUUUCUUGCACUUGCCUUUAUAUGGUGGUUCAUUAAUGGCUAUUGCACUGUGAUUUCUAGAUAUGAUGUGAAUUGGAUUUGGAAUUUAGCAGUACUGGUUUUUUGGCAGCUUGUAUUAUAUGUGUGUAGUGGCAACUUGUUUUAUUUGUUGACUAGUGUCGAGGCCUAACUCCUAAGUUCUGAGAUCUUGGGGGUUAAUGGUAUAUUGGUUCCUAUCAAGCUUGUGGUGUGAAUGACAUUGGUUGUCUCAUUUUAGUUUGUUUUGAUCUGCUGGAUGAAAUUUAUAUCACUGAAUGCUAUUGGUUAAGCAUAGGAGCAGUGAUUUGGUUCUGGUGGCAGAGGGUUUGUCAUUCCUUCCACAUCUUGUGGUUGCAUUUUCUGCAUUUUUAUAGUAUAACCUUGUUGGUUUAAGCUUUCCAUUUCAUCUUGGUUUUGGUAUAUUGAACUGCAUUGGAUUAUUUUCACGAAUAACAUUCAUAAGGCAUGGAAUAGAGUUUCAUUAUCUUAAAUUGUUGAUAUCUAAAUACUUUCUUUCAUUUUGGAAUUUAGUGCAUUGUAUUAAUGGAAACAUGGCUAAAUGGAGUCUCUCUUCCUUUUUUCUGCAUUCCUAUGACACCUAUUUUCUACAAACAUAGCUAUGAUUAGAUUAUGAGGUAACUUUUUAAAUGUUGAAAGUUACUUUCUGAACCUUUCAAAUGUAUUGACAUUCGGUGACCCUGCAUUUUUAGCUGAGCUAGUAUAUAUUCCAAAAACAAAAUGAUGAUUGAUGAAUUUUUCAUAUUACGUCCAACUUAAAUAUGUCUUCACGACUCUCAAUUUUUGGAUACCAAAAUAAAUCUUUUGUAUUGUAGACCCUGUUCAUAUUAAAAGAAUGGAAGACAUAAAACUAAUAGUCAUUGAAGAUGAUUUGUGGAGGUAAUUACAGCUCUGUGUCUAACUUUUAUCAUGGUAAGAUUUUUUUGGGAUUAAAG
rnacentral:lncRNA from 1 species